GGCCGCCCCCGCUCCCAGCAGCCUUUGCAGCCGCCUACAAUGAAAUUUGCGAAGUUUUUUCGGUUUCGGCGCCAUUUUCGAGUGGACUCGGAGCAGUGUUAAGAAAAAACUGUGGAUCCUGGAAUUUUACUGUGGAUUUUACUGGUUUUCUGGAGUGCUCUCCCACUGAAGCAGUUAUCUCGUUCUCCAGAGAGGCUGUGCAGGAGCUGAUGUGCCUGUGUUCAGAGGUGAGUUGGGAAGGUAAGCUUGUGUCCUACCUGCUCCAAAAUACCUGCAGCAUCUGCAUCCCUUUGGGUAAUGCAAGUCCCUCUGACACACAUAUCCUUUCUUGGGUACUGCAGGUAAUACCAAGGAGAGGUUCAGGUUGACUCAAAUUACCCUGUUCAACUGCAAAUUUCUGAUGUAAAGUUGAGUUUCCAAAGAACAAACUAAGUUUGAAAGAAUCUGAAGUGGGAGAUGGGAUAAUUCAAACAUGGAACUUUUUAUUGCAUAAAAUAUUGAUGCUGUCAUGUCAUAAACGUGCAUAUUUUCUCAGAUACAUGUUUCACUGCCUAUCCCAAAUUUCCAGUUGCCCAAUACUUGGUGUGACUGUUGAUUUUCCCUCUGUGCUGGAGGCUGGUGGAGGUAAACCCUUGCUUGAAAAAUCCUCCUUACUGAAGAGAGCUCUUGCCCUUGUUGAACUAAAAAAGUCUGGUUUACAUCAAUAUUUUAUAUAAAUAUAAAAACAUUAAUUAAAACCUGAACCUCAAGUGCUAUCAAAAUGGAUUCUAAAGCUGACUGUGUUUGCUGUUGCUUUUUUCUUUUGGAUUCAUUUGAAGAGAUGAAAGAAAUAAGAUUGCACAGGUAUGGUCAAGUAAAACAUUGUUGCAGAAGUAAUUAAUGGUGAUAUUAUGUGGGGGGUGUUUUGAUUUAGCUGGUACAGGCUGAACACUGGGUGCAUGUUUGCUUUGCAGCAAGUAGCAGCUGCUCAUUAGGGAGUUGGCCCUGGUGCUGUCAGUGUUGAGGACACUGAAGUGAUGAAAAUAUACUUCUUUUUUGUUGGCAAAUACUUGAUUCAAAUUUGAAAUCGCUUGGCAUGGGUCAGAAGAGCUUUUGAGAUUCCUAUUUUUAAGUUUGCUAAAGAGGCAGGGACUCGGUGGCACAUUGGGCAUGAGGGGAUGGCACAAGAAUUCGAGCCCGGGGCGUCAUUUCUGACAUUGUUCAGGUUUUUUUGUGAUGCUGCUUUUUAAGAAAAUGAAUUGAAGGAAGUUGUCCCAUAAUUGGUGGGGUGGGGGAAGGUUGAAAGGAAAUACAAAAAAUAUCAGUCUGUCUGCAGGCUCCUGUGCAGCCCAGGCAGGCUGGUGUGCAAGUGCCACUGGCAGCUGCCUUUUCUGCAGGGCUGCAGCCCCUCCCUGCCCUGCUCUGGUGCUUUCUGCCCUGGUACAGGCAGGGAACGUGAUGAAGUUCCAGAGAUCCAGAUUUCUGGUCGUAUAAGGCUUUUCCAUUCACAUAAUAAAUAAGCUUAAUUUACUCUUUUUAAAAAUAAGGAUUUUUUUUUUCACCGAUCUCAAAAGUCAAAUUGAGCUGAAUGAAAGUAUUUUAAGGAAAAUUGAACAGGUUUCAACUGUUGGAAUAUGGAUUUAUUUAUCUGAAAUGUUAACAUUGUGACUUCUGGAAAAUUGUUGAUGUUCAGCAUCACCUAAGAGGAAAGUACAAGGUAAUAUUUCCCCACAGACCAGUUGGAAAGUCUGGGGAUUUCUGCAGGCUCUUCACAGUAGCAAAAGCAACAGAUCCUCUGGAUCUGAAAGUAUUGUUUGCUGGGACCCAAUAUUAAGUGUGGUUUGGGGGAACAGUUAAUUUCUGACCUUGUUUCUGAAACUGGUUUGUUUGCACUGUAUAACUGCUUGUUCUCUUAUAGUUUCAGACUGUCUGAUAGCACCUGUGAAGGAAAAAACCCUGUCCUGUGGUGGUAAUGCAUGCAUGUUAAAUGUCUUCAUUGUAGAGUGUUCUUCAGUUCUUUAUAUCAUGGUUUAAAAAAAAUUACACAUAUAUAUUCAAAAUACCAUUUGGAAUGUCAACAUUCAGUGGGCUUUGAGGAGAUGUAGCAGCACAUCAUGGUUUGUAGGGACAAGGAGAUACAGACCAUUCUGGGCUGCCUCAUUACCUCAAGGAUAAGACAAGAAAGUGAGCUUCUGGUUAUCAUAGAUGUGGAAGCUAACACAUUCCCAUGUAUCUCAUUAGCUCAGGUAUGUGUAGACACAUUCUCUUGGUGCUUGUGCUGUGCCAUCCUUCACAUCCCCUGGGAGCUCGUGUGUGCCCUGCAGGCAGGAAGGACUUGCAGCUCCUUUUUGUUCUCCAACAUGGGCAUGACCACAUGCUAUGCUAUAUCUACCCCUCAGCUAUUGCUCUUUGGGCCUUUCCCUGGCAAAGGAUCAGCCAAGGGACCCUUGCCCUGUGUUUGGGGCAGAGAGGGGGGGGGUCUGGAGGCCCUGGAGAGCUGUCAGCAGUGCUCUAGCAGCACGUAAAUACUGGAGUUUGAGAUUGCCUGUUGCUCUCCAGUAUUGCAUUGCUGCUUUAGUGAGGCUGGAAAUUGGUCCCUGCUGCAGGGCUCUGGCUCUUGGGGUCCCUCCCUGGCACCCCCACGGUGCUUCCCAUACUGCAGGGGCUCCUGGCUCCCACCCCAAUAAACCACUGCGGAGGCAGCAACAACCAGGGCUUGGUGUCGUCAAUGGGGAAGGGGAGGGGGCUGCACCCCAACACUGCUGCUGGGUACCCUGUGCCCCAGCCCAGGAGUGAAGGGGGCUGAGAGCUCUGCCUGCUGCCCAGGAGAUGGUGCUGGGCCCUUCCCUGGGCUCUGGGGACAGGGAGGACCUGGGGCUGCACAGGGGCAGUGCUGGCCCCUGGGUGCACCCUACCUGCGAACCUGGGCAGGGGGUGUGGGGGACAUUGUGGGUGCAAGGGCUGGUGGGGACCAGAGCUUCAGCUGGGUGAGAGGGAGGGAUGCUCAUUGUGCCUGGGCUGCUCAUGGGGAAGCCUUGCUACCCAAAGCAUCAUCUUUUCCCAAAUUUCUGCAGCUGUCCCAGUUUCUGUCAGGAUACCCCAGCUCAGGCAGAGCUGACAUAGGGGGGCUGCUACUGGUCAGCAGCAUCUGGCACCUGGGGGCUAUAGUGGAGAGAGUUUAGACCACCUGAGGAUUUGCCUGCAGACCCACCACUGCAGCAGUGAUUUCUGCAGAGCUGUCCUAACCCCAUGAUGAAAAGUUCUUCCUUUAGCAUUGCACCACUUGAGGCUUCCAAACCCUCCUGGAAUAGACACAAGGGCCACCACAGAGUCAGGGAUGCUCCUGAGAAGGGCUGGGGUGGUGCCUGCCUGCUCAAGAUUCAUCUGCUAUGGGGUGAAUGAACUGUCAGUCCUGACAGUGACGGUGCAUCGUUAACAGCCCAAACCCAGCAGCCUCCUGGUGCUGUGAAUUCCAGAAUGUUUGUUUUAUCAGCUGUGUUCAGGAAUUACUAAAUCACAGCCAAUAGUUGUAGGGCAGGGGAAAAUCCUGUUGCUGAUUUACACCUUCAGUCCCUGCUCCUGCUCUGUGCAGGAGGAUCACAAAUGUCGGGCAUGGGGGGUGUGAAGGAGGAUGAGCAGCUUCUGCCCUCAGAGGGGGCAAACUCAAUGUUUGGGCACAUAACCAAUGCAUUCUAAACCAGACACUGGUAUUCUUCUACUUAUAAAACGGUCCAUUCCUACUCUCAACAAGCCAAGCCAUUAAUGGCUGAGUCCCACACUGUUUUCCUUCAGGAGAAUAACUUGAUGAGUGACUUGAUUUACAGGGAAAUCAAUCAAUAAAGUUGGUAAUUAUCUGUGCAUUUA